AAAAAGACAAACCCUGGGUUUCCGUGUCCAACGUUUGACCAUCCGUCUUAUUUAAAAAAAUUAUAAAAAUAAUUAAAAAGAUAAGUCACGCAUAAAGUAUUAAUCAUGUUUUAUCAUCUAACAAUAAUGAAAUACUAAUUAUAAAAAAAAUCAUAUAAGACGGACAGUCAAACGUUGGACAUGGAAACCCAGGGUUUGUCUUUUU
rnacentral:pre_miRNA from 1 species